CCAUCGCAUCGGUUGGGUUAGCCCGACCGUGAUCGUGUCCCGUCCGGCCGGGUCGGUGGCUGUAUAAAAGGAGGCACCGGCAGAGCGAGCGCCUCCCUCCCCACGCACUCUCCAAGCACAGGGCACGCACCCCGAGCCACCACAGCUCUAGCCUCCAGCCGCCGCCUCCGCCGACCAUGCCCGCCACCGCCGCCGCAGGGAAGAAGGCCGGGAGGUUCGUGCCGAAGCGCGGGCAGGUGCUGAGGAGGGUGCUGGCGAGCCUCUUCGCCUGGUCCUGGGUGCCGGCGGCGCGCCGCAGGCUGCUGCAGCUCUGGCGGCGCCGCAACCGCCCCCCUCGGGGCCGCCGCGGGAACCGCGUCCCGGCCGGCGGUGGCCACGUCGAGCCGGAGCCCGACGUCGCGGCGGCCCGCGCCGGCAGCGGCACCUCGCCCGCGCGGCGCGCGCACCAUGCCACCACUAAUUAUUUAUCCACCGACGAAUCGAUCCCGCCUACUUACUAAGUUAAGGUCAAUUCAGAUUGUCCAAGAAGAAUAAUUCCCUAUCUAAAUUAAGGUCUCGUCUCGCCACGCCGGGGGGUGACGGAGGAGUCGGUCAACGUGUCAACUGGCUCAUCGUUGCUCGCGGCCUCUCACUCCCCCUGUGUGGCUGUGUGUGCCGAAUUAGUCAUCUUAUUAUUGUUUCAUUUUUUUAUUUAUUUCUUCAUUGCUCUUGUACAACUCGGGGUCAGUCGCCGUCGUCGUCGCGACACGUCAAUGACAUCAUUGGUGUCACGAAGAAGAAGUCCAUCAUGAUGCAUGUAUAUGUGCUCGCCUCCUGUUAGCGGCAAAUUAAUUAAGCUUGUAAUACAAAACUAAAUUGCAAGGGAUGCGCUCUAGCGCGUUGUAAAAACUCUUUCUUCUAUCUUAAUACAAAGAUGCUCAAUUCUCUUGCCUAUUCGAUAAAAAAAAAUAAUUAA